UCGUGACCUGACAAYAGACCGUGCACGCGUCCUCUAGCCAGCCGGCGGCGGCAAYGUUUGUCGCUCGGCCAAGUCCUYGACAACCUCCUCUCCUUGGAGUUGGGGCUCGGGGUAAAAGAACCUACGGCGCCUAAGGCGUCAAGGAACACUGUGCCUAGCYCGGGGUAUGCGGACGGCUUGCUGUCYGCCUCCCUGUGCUGCAAUGCUUUUYAAUCCACACGACUCUCGGCAACGGAUAUCUCGGCUCUCGCAUCGAUGAAGAACGUAGCGAAAUGCGAUACCUGGUGUGAAUUGCAGAAUCCCGCGAACCAUCGAGUCUUUGAACGCAAGUUGCGCCCGAGGCCAUUCGGUYGAGGGCACGCCUGCCUGGGCGUCACGCCAAACACGCUCCCAACUCCCCCUCAUCGGGAAGCGGGAUGCGGCAUGUGGCUUUCCGUCGCGCAAGUGGCGGUGGGCCGAAGAUAUGGCUGCCGGCGUAUCRUGCYRGACACAGCGCGUGGUGGGCGUACUYGCUUUACUUACCGCAGUGCAUUUGGYGYGUAGUCGACGUGAYGGCCUUGAAGGACCCUAUAACGGAGCGCAUGACRCUUCGACC
rnacentral:misc_RNA from 1 species